GGAUUGUGGCUCAGUGGUAGAGUGCUUGCCUAGCAUGAGUGAGAGACUGGGUUCAAUUCUCAGCAGCAUACA
rnacentral:tRNA from 1 species